GGGACGAAUAGCUCAGUAAAACUGCGAUGAUUUAGUCUGGCUGUGUAGAUAACUACGUGAAAAUGUAGCUAAGGGAAGGCAGAAUAAGACGCAGGACUAUCAGUUAGUUGGUAGUGUAAUGGACUACCAAGACAGUGACGGUUGACGGGAAAUUAGGGUUUUGUACCGGAGAGGGAGCCUGAGAGAUUGCUCCCACGUCCAAGGACGGCAGCAGGCGCGAAAAUUGCCCACUCUUUGCAGGAGGCAGUUAUGAGACGUGAAGAUGAGUAUCUUGUAAAGAGGGAUAGGAGAAUUGGAGGGCAAGUUUGGUGCCAGCAGCCGCGGUAAUACCGACUCCAAGAGUGUGUAUGAGAGAUGCUGCAGUUAAAAAGUCCGUAGUCAUAGAAGGGCAAAGAGAGAUGCGAGGUCUCACAGUGCGAUGAUGGAGGAGCCGAUGGGGAACAUAGUAUACCAGGGCGAGAGAUGAAAUGCCAAGACCCCUGGUGGACUGAGCGAGGCGAAGGCGAUGUU
rnacentral:rRNA from 1 species